AACGAACGCUGGCGGCGUGGAUAAGACAUGCAAGUCGAACGGGAGUUUGUUUAUAGCAAUAUGAGUGAACUCUAGUGGCGAAAGGGUGCGUAACACGUGGCUACCUACCUCGAAGUUGGGGAUAGCUCGGCGAAAGCCGGAUUAAUACCGAAUGUGACCGGAAGGUCAAAGCUGGGGAUCGUAAGACCUGGCGCUUUGAGAUGGGGCUGCGGCCUAUCAGGUAGUUGGCGGGGUAAUGGCCCACCAAGCCUAAGACGGGUAGCUGGUCUGAGAGGACGACCAGCCACACUGGAACUGAGACACGGUCCAGACACCUACGGGUGGCAGCAGUCGAGGAUUUUUCUCAAUGGGGAAACCCUGAAGGAGCGACGCCGCGUGAGGGAUGAAGGUCUUCGGAUUGUAAACCUCUGUCAUCUGGGAACAAUGUAAUCUACCUAACACGUGGAUUUAUUGAUAGUACCGGAAGAGGAAGCAAGUGGCUAACUCUGUGCCAGCCGCCGCA
rnacentral:rRNA from 1 species